GACAAUCUGAGCUCAAAUCAGGUAGGACUACCCG
rnacentral:rRNA from 1 species